UUCCAGACUCCUACGGGAGGCAGCAGUGGGGAAUAUUGCACAAUGGGGGAAACCCUGAUGCAGCGACGCCGCGUGAGUGAAGAAGUAUUUCGGUAUGUAAAGCUCUAUCAGCAGGAAAGAAAAUGACGGUACCUGACUAAGAAGCCCCGGCUAACUACGUGCCAGCAGCCGCGGUAAUACGUAGGGGGCAAGCGUUAUCCGGAUUCACUGGGUGUAAAGGGAGCGUAGACGGCGACGCAAGUCUGGAGUGAAAGCCCGGGGCCCAACCCCGGGACUGCUCUGGAAACUGCGGCGCUGGAGUACGGGAGGGGCAGGCGGAAUUCCUGGUGUAGCGGUGAAAUGCGUAGAUAUCAGGAGGAACACCGGCGGCGAAGGCGGCCUGCUGGACCGCGACUGACGUUGAGGCUCGAAAGCGUGGGGAGCGAACAGGAUUAGAUACCCGGGUA
rnacentral:rRNA from 1 species